UACAGAGGUCUCAAGCGUUGUUCGGAUUCAUUGGGCGUAAAGGGUGCGUAGGCGGCGUGGUAAGUCGGAUGUGAAAUUCGAUGCUUAACUCCGAAACUGCAUUCGAUACUGCCGUGCUUGAGGACUGGAGAGGAGACUGGAAUUUACGGUGUAGCAGUGAAAUGCGUAGAGAUCGUAAGGAAGACCAGUGGCGAAGGCGGGUCUCUGGACAGUUCCUGACGCUGAGGCACGAAGGCCAGGGGAGCAAAACGGGG
rnacentral:rRNA from 1 species